CCUUCGAUAGCUCAGUGGGUAGAGCGGAGGACUGCUAGGUACAUAUGUUGACAUCCUAUAAGGUCGCUGGUCAACCGGGCUCGAAGGG
rnacentral:tRNA from 1 species